rnacentral:rRNA from 1 species
UACGUAGGGUGCAAGCGUUAAUCGGAAUUACUGGGCGUAAAGCGUGCGCAGGCGGUUUCGUAAGUCUGUCGUGAAAUCCCCGGGCUUAACCUGGGAAUUGCGUUGGAGACUGCAAGGCUGGAGUCUGGCAGAGGGGGGUAGAAUUCCACGUGUAGCAGUGAAAUGCGUAGAGAUGUGGAGGAACACCGAUGGCGAAGGCAGCCCCCUGGGUCAAGACUGACGCUCAUGCACGAAAGCGUGGGGAGCAAACAGG